AUUGAACGCUGGCGGCAUGCCUUACACAUGCAAGUCGAACGGCAGCACGGGAGCAAUCCUGGUGGCGAGUGGCGAACGGGUGAGUAAUAUAUCGGAACGUGCCCGGUCGUGGGGAUAACGUAGCGAAAGCUACGCUAAUACCGCAUACGAUCUACGGAUGAAAGCGGGGGGAUCGCAAGACCUCGCGCGAUUGGAGCGGCCGAUAUCAGAUUAGGUAGUUGGUGAGGUAAAGGCUCACCAAGCCGACGAUCUGUAGCUGGUCUGAGAGGACGACCAGCCACACUGGGACUGAGACACGGCCCAGACUCCUACGGGAGGCAGCAGUGGGGAAUUUUGGACAAUGGGCGCAAGCCUGAUCCAGCAAUGCCGCGUGCAGGAUGAAGGCCUCGGUUGUAAUAGCUUUGUACGGUAACGAAACGGUAGAG
rnacentral:rRNA from 1 species